ACCUGCCGGCCGCGGUAUUUUGACCGUGCUAAGGUAGCAUAAUCAUUAGUCUCUUAAUUAGAGGCUGGUAUGAAUGGUAAGACGAGAAAAUUACUGUCUCUGAAUUUUAUUUUUAAGUGAAAAAGCUUAAAUGAUUUUAAAGGACGAUCAGACCCUAUAGAGCUUUUUCGUUGGGGCGACGAUAGUUGAGCCUUAGAGAGAGCUUAUGAGACUAAGUUACCUUAGGGAUAACAGCGUAAUUUUUCUGGAGAGUUCUUAUCGAUAGAAGAGUUUGCGACCUCGAUGUUGGAUUAGGAAACUAGUAAGAUGCAGAAGUCUUGCUGGGGAGUCUGUUCGACUUUUAAACUCCU
rnacentral:rRNA from 1 species